GCAGACACAUUCCAGCCAAUCAGCAGCAGACCCUCCCUCCCAGACCCUCCCACCUCUGGACAGCUCACUAAGAAUGCAGCUUCACAAUGAAUGUAAAAUGGAUGCUGUCCAGGAGGUGGGAGGGUCUGGGAGGGAGGGUCUGCUGCUGAUUGACUGGAAUGUGUCUG